ensembl:lncRNA
AACACAAAUAAGCUGAAGUUAAACCGGUCAAUUGCUGAUGUCAGGGUUGGAAAAUGCUAUCGCGCUAUUUUUUUACAUAACAAAAUUGCUAUUUAACUUGAGUUGGACACUUGCGCCUCCUUACCGCCAGCCAAAAAUGUAGGAAUAUGUCUAAUUAGGAUUUCAAUAACCUAUAUUGUAUAUAUAAAUAAAACUGAUCGGUUCAAAGAGGUAAUGUUUUGGGAGUCAGAAGGUUGUUACCGUAUGAAAGGAAGAAUGGCUGUGACUGGAGAUCUGUUGGGUUCACCAGUAUCAGAUCUUGUUCCCAGAUCCACUUGUGUUUCCAGGCUCCAAGAUCCAAGACGGUUUACUGUUGGGAUCCAACAGCAGCUGUUUUGUCUGUUACAACAACAAACCAUCUUUAGCGUUCCUCCCUUUGGGGGUGACAGACAUGGAGCCUCCAUAGAAGUGUCCCGCUGAAGCCAGGGAGACCAGUAGCAGCAGAUGCAGCAACACCGGUGUGGAGGAGGACAUGAUGCCUGGAUCUCUCUGGAGGAUUCCUCUCUACCUAUCUGCCUCCAGCAUCCAACCUUCAAACCUUUAUACCUUCUCAGACCAACCAUCCAUUCAGGAGGAAUGUCAGAGCAGAUGCCAAAAUUGUUUCCUUUGUAACUCACCCUGGACAUGUUCUCUUUCUGACAGGUGUAACUGGUUUUAAUGAACUGGGAAACAAAGAUUAAAAUACCUUUUCAUAAUAACCUGAAACGAAAGGGGAAAUAAAGUUGUGAGUUACAGUAAUUCUGUAUAUCUUGAACUUGUCUCUGCUAAUCUUGCCUUUGAAAUUAUGAUGAAUUGGUCCUGCUACAGAUUACUUUGUAAAUACAUCCUUCAUUCCCUUGGGUAGGCUGGAUAGGUGAAAACAGCCAUCCACUACCCUUUCACCAAUCCAAUCCAUAUUCACCCAUGGUAUUGCUUCUUGAGGUGUUCUAAUUCUCUUUCCACGCCUGUUACCAUGGUGAGGAUUACACAAACACAAAAAGGAUGCUUUUCACGGUAAUUCAUGACAAUCACCUUUAAAUCAACGUGUGAGUCAAAACUAUGUUUUUAUACUUCUGCUCUGUCCCUAUCAGAUGUUUUUCUGUUUGACAUCGUUGAACUGGCAUGGGUGGGUUGGAAUCCAUCUGACUGACAGCAUGAAGAUGUUCAACAAGAUUAGGCCAUGAGGACAGGUGAUUUAUUAUCUCAUCUCUCUUGUCAAACAUCAGGACUCAAGGAUGUUGCUGACAAGUCAUUGAACUUGUUUGAGAUGAAACCUAUAGCAUAUUAUCAAAUGGCUUCCAGGGAGAUGCUUAAUAUGUUUUUCUGUUUGACAUCGUUGAACUGGCAUGGGUGGGUUGGAAUCCAUCUGACUGACAGCAUGAAGAUGUUCAACAAGAUUAGGCCAUGAGGACAGGACUCAAGGAUGUUGCUGACAAGUCAUUGAACUUGUUUGAGAUGAAACCUAUAGCAUAUUAUCAAAUGGCUUCCAGGGAGAUGCUUAAUGUGAGUUGGACAAUAGCACCUCAAAAUAAAUCCCUACAUAACCACUUGACCUUACAAUACUAAUACUAAAUACUUACAAUAGCAAAGGUUGAUCUGCACGAUAGAGACACCAACUCAACCAGACAGUAUGUGUUUUAUAGAUAUUGAAGUGAAC